UUAGCCUUAAACCUCAAUAGUUGUAUAACAAAACUAUUCGCCAGAAUACUACAAGCAACAGCUUGAAACUCAAAGGACUUGGCGGUGCUUUAUAUUCCCCCUAGAGGAGCCUGUUCCAUAAUCGAUAAACCCCGAUCCACCCCACCCUCUCUUGCUCAGCCUAUAUACCGCCAUCUUCAGCAAACCCUGAUAAAGGUUACAAAGUGAGCGCAAAUGCCCCCCACCGCAAAAACGUUAGGUCAAGGUGUAGCCCAUGAGAUGGUAAAAAAUGGGCUACAUUUUCUACCUCAGAAAACCCUACGAUACCUCUUAUGAAACCUAAGAGCCCAAGGAGGAUUUAGCAGUAAAU
rnacentral:rRNA from 1 species